UUAUCUGGGAAGGGCUACAAAGGGUUGCUUACAUGUACCAAGAAGGCCCAAGAACUUCGAAAGCAGCAGAGGUGUGUAAAAGGUGAUUUCUAAAUACAUUAGGAAUAGAUGAAACACACUGCACUUCAUUUAUGGUUUUGUACUUUUGUUUUCUUUACAGGCUGAAGUGGUUAUGGUGAAUUACUUGGGGGUACAGGGGACCUCAGGAUUUCAGAAUAAAUUCAAGGCUCGGUCACAGGACUCCAUCUGCUAUAUUUAACAAGGAACCUUAGGUGGACAAGCAACAAAGCUGUUAAGAUUAUUUUAUUAUUAUUAAUUUAUGUUUGCACAAUAGCUUUGAAUAAAAAGUCACUAUAUUAAUAAAUCCAUAAAUAGAAACUUAAAAAUUCCACCAAAACUAAUACAGCCC